CCUCUCCCUUGUCUCGUCUCCCUACCGCAAUUCCUUCCAUCACCAUUCCCACCCACCGCCGCCGCCCCCACCCACCGUCGACCUUGUCUCCGCCACGCAUCCUCUCCCCCUCCCCUCGCCUUCAUCCCCCAGAUCGAGCAAGCCACGAUUCCAUCGUCGGUGCCACCUCCCCUCCAUGGACGGAGAUCCACUCGAGCUCAUCCUCUCCAAUCUCGUCGCCGACGAUGACCCCCAACACCACACCAAUCGGCGAAUGUCUCCCGGACCCACCUCCCCUCACACCACCCCUACCUGAUCCAACCCGCCUCGCCCGCUCCAGCCGCCACCGCACCAGCCCCGAACCACUACUCGCGGGCGCGCGGGGAUGGAGAACCCCGACGUGCAAGCGGGAGCUGACGCGGGGCUUCCCCUGCCCCCACCGCCGUCCUUGGAUUCCGCGGGGGGCGGCCUAGGCAGCGACCCGGCCGAGGUGCUCCCACUGCCGCCCCCGCACCUCCUCGGUGGCGCCCCGUACGAUGCUGUGCAGGGAGUUGACGGAUCCGCGCACCCGUCGAGCACGCCUCGCUGAACGGCACCUCCGGCAAGGCGGCGGGCUACCAGGCCGCAGAGAACGGCGCACUGAAUUGCUUAUUUUUCCUUGCUGUGUGAUCUUCAGUUCUUCAUGAUGUUAUAGAGAUAUUUAUGUCAAAUCUACAGCUUGGGAUCCUCUCGUUCCUAUGCAGAAGCUGGAUAGAUUCCUGCUUUAACAUGUGCAUCUGUUAUUUGAUUAACAUAAUGUCAUUCGGUCUCGUACUAUUACCAUGUCAUAACUCAUAAAUACUGGUUAGGUUAAAAGGACCGUCUUUGCAGCUGAGGCUUAGCAAUCUAUAUAAAAUAUUUAAUUAUUUAUUCCAAACUGUUAUUAGCAUGGCUAUUGAUACUUUUGUCAUCCCACUUCCAUAUAAAAGGAGAAUCAUGAGAAGAGAACAUGUUGUGUGCCCCUAGUUUUAAUUUUCCUAUAUUAUAUUUAAGCAUUCAAUAUCUUCCUAUAUUGAAGUUGUUAUUUUACACUAAAUAUUUUCUGUAACAAAAAUGUAGCCGAAGAGGGUCUCGGAAGAGGGAACUACUCCACUGACCGAAGCACUUCAUGGCACCAGUUCAGGACUACCUGAAUGUACUACACUGGAGCGUGUCAAAGCUGCUUGUGGAGGUGGACAAGGAAGCCCUCAUCCCCAUGGCUGCUACUCCUUCAGGUGAACAACAAAACCCUAACGGUGACAGAGGUGGGCACCUAGGAAACUAGAUGCUAUCAAACAAGUUAUUAUGGCUAAAGCUUCGUCCAGUGUAUCACGAACAAGAUGGUUGAACCUCGUGGGCUUGGUGAUGUUGAGAUGACUGAAGAGCAGAGGCGAGUUUAUUUGGAAGAAGAAAUAAAGAAUGAGGAGUAGGAAAAUUAAAAGAAGGAGAUGUAAGAACGACCUAGAAAAAGGUAGAUGAAAAAAAGUUAACAGAUGUGGGAUCACUUUUCUAUGUGUUAUGUUUUAAAGUGUAAUAAUAUGGUUGUGUAACUUGUGUUUGGUUGAACUUGUACUUUGGUUAUGUGUUGUGCUCGGACUUGGACUUUGGUUUUGUAUUGGAGUUCUAUUACUAUAUUCUCACUUAUUAGUGUGGGUUUUA